AACUCUCAGAAAUGUCCAGACAGGCAGAAAUGACUGGAAUCAGCGGGUCCAGCAUGGGUGAAGACCAUACAAAAAUCAUACUACGUAUUAUUAAAUAUCAUGGUGAAUCAUCAAGUUUAAUGUAUAAACGUAGCAAUCAAAUUAUUUAUAGUAAUAAUAUUAAAAAUCAUUUAAAUAGUCAGAAGGAUUUUGACCCUGUUGGGUAUAUUGCAGUAAUGACAAGACCAAAAGGUGAUAUUUUGAUAUCACAAUGUUUUUUUGCAUAUGCAAAUAAAAAAAAUAUUUUGACAAUGGAGCACUCGGUUGGUCCUCACGCCAUUUUUAUAUUUGCCCUCUUUCUAUCUAAACAUGAUAUCUUAAUUUACAAAAUUCGUCCACCCAUUUUCUAUGAGUGUAAAAUUGAUUAUAUAUUACUUAAAUUACCAAAAAAUAGUUUUAUCCCUUGGAAUAUAGGAUUGUUAGAUCAAAUUUAUGGGAAACCGGAAAUUGGCAAGUUAGUCCAUUUAAUUACAAAUAGGAAAUUAAAAAAAACUCCUCAUUCAAUUGAGGCAGUUAUCACUGAAACCCCCAUAAACUUAAAAAAAUAUUUAAAAAAAUGGGAAUUUUUAAUUGAUAAAUUUGGAAUUCAUGGUGAUAGUGGUGCCCCAGUUUUCGAUAAAGACUGGGGAUUGUGCGGAAUGUACCGUGGGUGUAUUUCUGAGGAACAAUCUGAAUUUGGAGUGUGCGUUAACAUUAUUGAAAUUGACAAAGAUAUUAAAAUAAAACAGCAGUUCAGUAAAAAAAAGAAGAAGAACCAACUGAAAGCAUUUUUAGCUCUUUCGAACUGCAUCAAAUUUCGAAAGAAAAAAUAGAAAUAAGAUAUAUUAUUUAUAUAUACAGAUAUAUAUAAGAUAAUAGAAUAUGAUUAUAUAAGAUAAUAAUGUUAUAUAAGGGCUGAUCUGUGCGCUGGCUUUUGUUCCAACCUUAAUUUGCUCUGGUACUUGAGCACAGUAACAUCUUCAAUUACACUCCACCAGUCUGAGAGAGUAGUUGGUGCGUAUACAAAAUGUCACAUCAAAUAAAUAAGAGCAGAAAUUGGCAAAAAAAAAAAACCCUGCAAAAGAUCAGCCAUUUUUGUACACCCUGGCACAGUCAUUCCUGCCUCUGGGAUUUCUCCAGAAGGACAACUUGCCCCCACGUUUGCCUGCAUGAGAGAGAGAGAGAGAGAGAGAGAGAGAGAGAGAGGGUAAUUUCAGCACAGCCUGGAUCUACUUCCAUGGAGCUAAUGCAUUUGCCUGUGAGGACUGAACUGAGUGACAUCACUUUCGUGAGAAGCAACAAAGAGGAAAGAGGAGAAAAUGCAAAACAAAGUGUGGAAUGUCCUGAAAAAGGAUGAAAUCCAACUCCGCACAGACCAAGCGCAUGACCUCACAGACCAAGUGCAUGACCUCACAGACCAAGUGCAUGACCUCACAGACCAAGUGCAUGACUUCACAGACCAGGGUGACAACAUCGGGACCAGGCUGAGAGCACAGAAGCAGGCUUAAAUGGGGACAUGUUGUCCUUCUGCACCCCUCCCCUCCCCUCCCCUCCCCUCCCCUCCCCACCCCAGCCCAA